UACGUAGGGUGCGAGCGUUGUCCGGAAUUACUGGGCGUAAAGAGCUCGUAGGUGGUUUGUCGCGUUGUCCGUGAAAACUCACAGCUUAACUGUGAACGUGCGGGCGAUACGGGCAGACUGGAGUACUGCAGGGGAGACUGGAAUUCCUGGUGUAGCGGUGGAAUGCGCAGAUAUCAGGAGGAACACCGGUGGCGAAGGCGGGUCUCUGGGCUGUUACUGACGCUGAGGAGCGAAAGCAUGGGGAGCGAACAGG
rnacentral:misc_RNA from 1 species